GGCUGCUGGCCGGUGCAAGUUUCCUUCCUCUGGGGCACUGCUCCACACGUGCAGGUGGCAGCGGACACCACUCUUGUUGCUGCCCCUCAUUCAGCGUCCUGGUGGUACUCAUCCUGCGGGACCAUGCAAGCCCUGGUAUCCCCCGUGACUAAGGCCAUCUUCGUGGCUCUGUUUCUCUUCGCUAUCCUGCUAAUCCUCUAUGUGAUCCUGUGGUACAUUUGCCGGGACGUGGACAACGACUACAUCUGAAGCAGUUUUCCAGGAUUGAUUUUGAAAAUAGAAGAUAGCAGCCUGUACUUCAUUAUCAUCUUGGCAGUUAUAGGUGAGACUCCACACCUUGGCUACCAGAUAUCAUGGCCCCUAACCCAGGAAAGCCUGAAUUUUGAUGAGAAACUAAGAACACCAGCAGAGCUUUCUGAUUUUGUACUGUGAUUCCUCUAAUGUAUCAUCAUGGACACAAUUGCAUUUUAGUCAUUGGCUUGUUUCUUUGCUUAGGUAUCACCACACAGGCUUGACCUCUCUGUCUCUAGAAUGAUGACAUUGCUAUCCAAACAUAAGUCUUGAGUCCUUUUGCCCUUAAGCAAAAGUGAAGCAGAAUUAUUAAGUAUAUUUCUCACACACCCAUUUCCUUGUAAUAGUUACAGAAAUGUGAGGCCCAGAAUUUGACUGUGAAGUCACUUGUUUCUUGUGUAAUGGCAUUUACAUGGACAUACUAGCUGAGGAUGGGCCAGAUGUUUAUUUUAUUAGGAAGAGAAAUAAAAUUAUCUGUCUCUUAAAUAUGCCAGGGGGUAUUUUAAGGAAAUAAUUUUAAGCUUCUGGAACCUAUGAGAAUAUUGUAGCUUUGUAUUAGUUUGUUUUCUGUUGCUAUAACAAAAUAUCCAAGAGCAGAUAAUUUAUAAAGGUUAAAAUGUAUUUUCCACAGUUAUGGAAGCUAGAAUGUCCAACAGUAUGGUGCUGGCAACUAGUUGGCAUCUUGUGAGAGCUUCCUUGCUGCAUCAUAACAUGGAGAAGACCAUCUCAUAGAAAGACAGAGCAAGCAAUCUAGCUCAGGUCUCUCUUCUUCUUAAAAAGCCACUAAGGCCAUCAUGGGAAAUCUUCAUUACCUAUAUAAUACUAAUUAUACCUCAAAGGCUCCACUUCUGAAUACCAUUAACAUGAACUUUUGUGGGAUACACUCAAACCAUAACAAGUGCCCUCACGCCCAGCUUAACUUUCCUUCAUAUUAUGGUAACCUACUAGUAAUUUCUUCUUGAAUGCUACUGUUAUCCUUCCAAUGUUUGAAGGAUAUUGGCAUAGCUGGUUCACUCUAUAAAGAUAUUUCUCUUGUAAUCAUUUUGUUCUCUCAUAGUCAUGUGCUAAUUUUCAUGAAAAAUGUGACUUAAAAGUUCCACAUAGACAAGACUCUCUCCCUCUAUUGUUGGCUGUGUAUGUAGGCACUUCUCCAUUCAUUUGGAGAAGUGUUAUUUGCACCACUGAUUCUGUUUGUGUCAACAUGUUACGUGUAUUGUAGGCUAAAUAAAGUCGAUCU